rnacentral:miRNA from 1 species
UUGCGUAGGCCUUCGAUUGGCG